GAUGAACGCUAGCGACAGGCUUAACACAUGCAAGUCGAGGGGCAGCAUAGAAGUAGCAAUACUUUGGUGGCGACCGGCGCACGGGUGAGUAACGCGUAUGCAACCUACCUAUCAGAGGGGGAUAACCCGGCGAAAGUCGGACUAAUAUCGCAUAAAACAGGGGCACCGCAUGGUGAUAUUUGUUAAAGAUUAAUUGCUGAUAGAUGGGCAUGCGUUCCAUUAGGUAGUUGGUGAGGUAAUGGCUCACCAAGCCGACGAUGGAUAGGGGAACUGAGAGGUUGGUCCCCCACGCUGGUACUGGGACACGGACCAGACCCCUACGGGAGGCAGCAGUGAGGAAUAUUGGUCAAUGGGCGAGAGCCUGAACCAGCCAAGUCGCGUGAAGGAAGAAGGAUCUAUGGUUCGUAAACUUCUUUUGCAGGGGAAUAAAGUGGAGGACGUGUCCUCUUUUGUAUGUACCCUGAGAAUAAGGAUCGGCUAACUCCGUGCCAGCCGCCGCGGUAAAAC
rnacentral:rRNA from 1 species